UACGUAGGGUGCAAGCGUUGUCCGGAAUUAUUGGGCGUAAAGAGCUCGUAGGCGGUUCGUCGCGUCGGCUGUGAAAACCUGAGGCUCAACCUCAGGCCUGCAGUCGAUACGGGCGGACUUGAGUACUGCAGGGGAGACUGGAAGUUCCUGGUGUAGCGGUGAAAUGCGCAGAUAUCAGGAGGAACACCGGUGGCGAAGGCGGGUCUCUGGGCCGGAGUACUGACGUGGAGGAGCGAAAGCGUGGGGAGCGAACAGG
rnacentral:rRNA from 1 species